CGGCCGACACCGCUCGCAGCGCCAUCUACAACGCCGCGCCGGACGAGUCCACACCGGCGGCCGGCGGGGGAGGUCGCUCGGCGGCCGUGAGAAUCAAUACGGAACGCGCGGCGGCGGCGCCAAACAAUUGUGGCGCCAGCCGCGCGUGGGCAGGUCGGACGUGCGCGCGUUCAACCUACGUGUGAAUGCCCCGAAGAUAGCCGCCAAUCAAGAGAGAAAACUUUCCGAGGACUUCCCCUGCGAGAGAGAACAGUCGAUGUCGGCACGAUGAGGACCCGGCAGAGUAACCGGCCACGGGCGAGCAAGUCACGCAGCUCGCCGUCAGUGGCAGUGGCUGCUCGCUGGCGGGGCCGGGCGCGCCGCUCGGCAGCCUGGGUGCCAUCCCGACCCCGCGCUAGUCGCUCGCCGCUGCCACCUGCGAGCUCGAGCCGCCACAGCCGCCGGCCGCUGCUGCGCACCUGUAAUGAGAACGAGGACCCGUCAUCGACCAGCGACUACACGGCGCUGAAGCAGCCCCCGGCGGAGGCGGGGGCGGCUGAUAGCCGGCUGAUCUGCUCGGCCGCUCCACGGCGCCAGCCUCUGCAGCAGGUGGCUCCUGACCAGCACAACAGCCGAGCCCCGCCGCCGGCGCAGCCGCAGGUCACCUCAGCCGCCGGUGACGUCGGCUGUGUGUCGGCUCCCACCGAGUACCGCUCCCGUGAACCUGAAGAGGACGAAGCAGAGGAAGAUGAAGAAGAGGAUGAAGAGGAGGAGGAAGAGGAAGAUGAUGGAGAGGAGGAGACGGACUACUAUACCGACAGCAUGUUCGAGGCCUACUACUUCAUCAAACACCUGCCGCCGCUGACGCCCGAGAUGCGGGCCCGCCACCCGGCGCUGCCGCUGAAGACGCGCAGCAGUCCACACUUCACACUGGUCCUGGACCUGGACGAGACGCUGGUCCACUGCAGUCUGCAGAGGAUGGCCGACGCCUCGUUCACGUUCCCGGUACUCUUCCAAGGCGUCUCCUACGAGGUGUUUGUGCGCACGCGGCCCUUCAUACACGAGUUCCUAGACCGGGUCUCGGACCUGUUCGAAGUCAUCCUGUUCACCGCCUCCAAGAAGGUGUACGCCGACAAACUGGUCAACCUGCUGGACCCCGAGAGGAAGCUCAUUAAGUACGUAAAUACGGAUCGUGGGGCGUGGGUGCUCACAGUAGCGUUUCUUCGAUUUCAUCACUCCCAUUGCUGGUUUGGAUCUCUUAGUUUAUUUAGCUGGGCCAUACGGUCCGAUUUCCGUCUUGCGUAAUGCCAAUUAUCCUAAUAAACAGGGAUGCGGAGCCGUGGAAAUUUCAGACGGCUCCGACUCCGGCUCCGGCUCCGGAGAAAAAAAUCGGCUCCGGCUCCGGCUCCGGCUCCGGGUGAAAUGUCAUGGCGGCUCCGGCUCCGGCUCCGGCUCCGAGUAAAAUGAUCCGGCUCCGGCGGCUCCGGCUCCGGCGGCUCCGGCUCCGGCUUCUACCAAGUAGGGUAGUGUGGGGUAAUUUGAGCAUAUUUUUACGUCUUCUCCCUUGUACCAACUUCCAGCUCAACCCUGGAUGAAGAAAAACUGUUUCAGUAGCGCAUGUGUCACUUGCUUUUACCAUGCAAGCCUCAUUUUUGGACGAGCCGAGCAUACCUUGAAUAGCAUAGCAUCACUUCUCCACCAAGUCACGGUGUGUUCAAAUUGCCCCACCGUGGGGUAAUUUGAACAUACUGCCUUUACCUGCCAUAAAAACGAUAGUCUCGCCAGCACCGAUGCAUUGUUUGACCCAUAAACGAAUAGGUAGAGCAAUUCUAAACAUACCUUCAUUUGAAAAUCAACACAGCAACAAAAAUAACAGUUGCAGAGUAUCGAUAUCUGCACGCUGCACACAGGUCAGUUGAAAGAAUUCGCCUCUCUUCAAUUAACAGGACGUCUAUCAUCUCCGUUCGAUAAAAACUCUACCAAACCUUACUUCAUCUGUUAUAGUGGUGCCAAUCGGAACCUGGACAUUCGGAGUUCCGAUUCUUUAUUAUGUCCAAUUCGGAAUUGAUUGCACAAAGGUAGGUAUAGUAGUCUGGACAACAUUGGACGAUGGCCUGCCACACUUGAGCAUUUUUAUCAAGUAAUCGUGCGUAGCAUUGCUUGGCGAAUGGAAAGCUUGUUAAGCUCUCAAUGUAAUGAACACUUUUCGGCUGGUAAAAUUACGUGAUAAGCAAUAUAAAUGACGGUUUUGAGUGUUGAUAGCUGCAUAAUUUUCGGACAUAUUUGGACAAAUAGUUGACUUUAACAUUUUUGGACGGAAAAUCAACGAAAAUGCCGGGCAUUAGACGGAAAUUAGACGUAAAUUUUCGAAAACUGGCAUCACUUAUCUGCUACUGCUUUGGGUCGAAAAUAUUGGCAAAAAAAAAAACUGGGAGAGCUGUUUUUUCGGAGCUAUCCCUGUUUUCAUUGAAAUUCUCACACUAUGUUCAAAUUACCCCACACAAAAAGUUAUUUUGCCAUUUUCAAAAACAGGGUUCAAAAGCAAAUUUCUUGGAUUGAAGACACUGAUUAGGUCAUUGUACAACAAAAGCUGUUACGUAUUAGGCACUAGCAAUGCAAGAUUUUGCGCUACAAUGAAGUUGCAAUGACGUGUUGUUAGGCGUUUAUCCUUGCGAAAUUAUUUUUUACACUGUGCGUCAACAUCUUCAUUCCCUGAAACUUUAAACCCCGUUCAUAUGAUGGCCCUUUUAGUUACGAUAAUUUCUCUCAUUGGUCUUAUUGUCAUGCCACUUAUGGAUUUUCCGUAAUUUUGUGUUAUUCACACUAUGUUCAAAUUGCCCCACAUGUUCAAAUUACCUCACCCUACCCUACAUCCCCUAUGCGAUCAAUUAAAUACGGGUGGAAUACCACAUUUUGAAUACCACAUUGUUUUACGCCUUGAAGGUGGUGGCAGCAUUGCUUUGAAUGCGAGGCGAGGUGUAACCGUGUAUGCGAACACUGAAGGUAGAGAACACUGACCAGGACCUCGACGGUCCCUACUGUCAAACCGAACUAGGUAAAUAAUUGUUUCCUCUAAAGAAAAGGAGCCGGAGUCGCCCCCUUUUUUGACGGCUCCGGCUCCGGCUCCGGCUCCGGGCUACAUUGUUUCACGGCUCCGGCUCCGGCUCCGGCUCCGGGCAAAAUAUGCCGGCUCCGGCGGCUCCGGCUCCGGCUCCGGCUCCGGCUCCGCAUCCCUGCUAAUAAAUAAAGUACCGUCUGUUCCGCGACCACUGCGUCUGCGUGAACGGCACCUACGUCAAGGACCUCAACAUCCUGGGUCGCGACCUCUCCCGCACCAUCAUCAUCGACAACUCGCCAGAGGCCUUCGGCUAUCAGUAUGAGAACGGCAUCCCCAUUGAGAGCUGGUACACCGACAAGGAGGACUCUGAGCUGCUGAAACUGAUACCGUUCCUAGAAAACCUGCACACCUUGAACGAGGACGUGCGACCUCACAUCCGCGAGAAGUUCCAGCCGCACACAUACAUGCCGCCCGACUAACACCUUGGAGCCGCCCAGGGUUGAUCCCGGAGUCACCCGGACCGAUCCCGGAGUCCCGGACUCCGGAGUCGCUGUGGGAUCGUGAGCUCGCCCGGUCUACUUAUAGUGGCCGCUACUGCGCCGCGAGUGAUCUUCACGGCGCGUCUCUAGGUGGUGCCCGCAUCGAUAGUGACGAGUGAUGGACGACGCGCGAGGCCCAGCUACGACGGUGCUACUGCUGAACUUUGCUGAACCAGUUCUGUUGUGCCAUUUUCUGAGACCAUAAUGCGAACACCAAUUAGGCUUUUGCGAGUGGUGCCUCGACAUCUCAGGAGACAGCGCGGUUGGUGUCGUCGCUUUUUGGUGUUUCGUGGAAGAAGGCAUGCAUCGUCAUUGUUCGCAAUUCUGCGUGAUGAGAGUCGCAAGUCGCAACCCAUCGGGAGAGGUGGUGGGCGGGACGGCUUUUGGUUUGAGACUGUGUUCGACGUCAAUUUACAUAUGCACCGUGAGGAUAAUCGAGAAUUUGGCCUGCAGAUAUAAUCACAUAGCUUCUUCUUGCUACCGGUAAGCGGCUUACUAUCCUGUCCUAUACGGACGCAAUUUCACCGUCUGGCGUUCAGGCAUUCAUAUGUGCAUACUUCAGGCUCCAGAACCGCGUUGUUGUGAACUGUUUCGCUGCCAUGCACGAGGUACAAGCGCAUGUUUCCUCGCGUGCUGUCUGACUGGGCCACAAAUCGGGUCACUUGCUGCCGUGGGAUGUCUGUUCUUCGCGUGACGUGGUUUAGAAACAUUGUUUUACGCAUCGACCGUGUGAAAUCCCUAUAAUGAAUUACAGCUACGGCGUAUUUUGAGAUUAUUUCAGAGUGGUCGUUGCACAGUUGCAUGCUGUAUUGCAAUGAGCGCAUAGUAUUUUAGCUAAUAAACGGCAUCAAUACCCAC